rnacentral:rRNA from 1 species
GUCUACAGCCGCACGGACCAGAACACGCCCAAUCACAUCUGAUCUUGGAAGCUACACAGAGUUGGGCCUGGUUAGUAAUUGGAUGGGAAAAAAUCAUAAAAAAUGUUCAAGAAUCUCUUGUCA